UACGUAGGAUGCAAGCGUUGUCCGGAUUUACUGGGCGUAAAGCGCGCGCAGGCGGCACAUUAAGUAAGGUGUGAAAUAUCCCGGCUCAACCGGGAGGGUGCACUUUAGACUGAUGAGCUUGAGGUCGUAGAGGGGGUGGAAUUGCUGGUGUAGCGGUGAAAUGCGCAGAUAUCAGGAAGAACACCCGUGGCGAAGGCAGCUCGCUGGGACGUUACUGACGCUGAGACGCGAAAGCGUGGGGAGCAAACAGG
rnacentral:rRNA from 1 species